rnacentral:ribozyme from 1 species
UGUCCAGUAACUCCUAUCCCUACCUCCCCGUGGUGCCGCCUGGGGUACGAGUUAUCGUAGGGAAGA